GAAAAGGGAGGCAACUCCCCUAGUAGAGCGGCGAACGGGUGAGUAACACGUAGGUGACCUGCCCUUGAGUCCAGGAUAACCUACCGAAAGGUGGGCUAAUACCGGAUAUUACCACGGGAACCUCGGUUCCUGAGGUGAAAGGUGGCCUCUGCUUGCAAGCUACCGCUCAUCGAUGGGCCUGCGCGCCAUUAGCUAGUUGGUGAGGUAACGGCUCACCAAGGCGAUGAUGGCUAGCUGGUCUGAGAGGAUGGCCAGCCACACUGGGACUGAAACACGGCCCAGACUCCUACGGGAGGCAGCAUGUGGGAUCUUGCGAAAAA
rnacentral:sRNA from 1 species